CUUAUUAACUCUCAGCCCAGCGGCGGUUUCCAGGACCUCAGACUUUUUGCCGAGGCGGCAGUCCCUAGACGAAGCGAAGGAGGCGGCGCCUGCCCCGCCCACAAGAGCUGCCGCGCGCGGGUGUUAUAGCUCCACCCCAUCUGCAAAGGAAGGGGGAGCGGAAAGAGCGGGAUCUAGCGUGGGAUAAAAGUGGGACUACUACAGUGUAACUGGGCAUGCGCCCCUCCUAGAAAUGAUGGGAAUGCAAAAGCCCUUGACUGCUCCAGGACUCGAGGGAUCCUCGGUGCCAGGAUGCUGGGUCAAGCGCUCCGCCGGGACAGAGGACUCAUACCAGGGAAAUGGAGCCCAGCCUCGUGAUAAACUACGACCCAAGCUGGGGGAGGAACCUAGUUUUCGAAAGGAAAAUAAUAUGCGCAAGCUUUAACUGAGCAGUGGGAUGGUCUUAAAUACCAAAGGAAUGACUUUAAAUCUUGCUGGAUGGGACUGCCACUCACCGCUAGAAAUCGGGGAUCAACAGCAAACUCUGGAUGACCCUGUAACCACAUCUCCAGUUCAGCCCGGCGAGGGGCAUCCUCACCCACCAGCAAAGUACCAUCCACCUUAUUGAUGACAGGGAUCCGGGUCUCCAGGUCCACAUCAAGGUGAUUAGGCUCUUCCAUGCACUCCACCUCCAGCUGCAAACCCAGAAUCCACCCCCAUGAGCACAUACUCUUCUUUGGGGGAGGGAGGGAGGGGGAGCAGGGCCAAUGGUAGUCAUGAAAUGACUCUAGUAUUUUCCAUUCCCCCAGUCCCACUGCCUUCAUCAAUUAUUGGGAAUAAAAAGACAAUCUAAUCGUCA